UACGUAGGGGGCAAGCGUUGUCCGGAUUUAUUGGGCGUAAAGAGCGUGUAGGCGGCCAUGUAGGUCCGUUGUGAAAACUCGAGGCUCAACCUCGAGACGCCGAUGGAAACCAUGUGGCUAGAGUCCGGAAGAGGAGAGUGGAAUUCCGUGGAUGUAGCGGUGAAAUGCGCAGAUAUCAGGAAGAACACCCGUGGCUAAGGCGGCUCUCUAGUACGGUACUGACGCUGAGACGCGAAAGCGUGGGGAGCAAACAG
rnacentral:rRNA from 1 species